GGGGACAUGCUGGAACUGGCAGACAGGCAUGACUUAGGAUCAUGUGCCGCGAGGCGUGAGGGUUCGAUUCCCUCUGUCCCCA
rnacentral:tRNA from 1 species